CCGAGAAGGCCGAGGCUCACCGACGUACAAGUAGGAGGAGGCAUCUCAUAAGGUCAUGCUGCCAUGCACGUACGUGUGUGUGCGUGCAUGUGCACCUACGGGCCGAUCAGAGAGUGUCUCGUGGGGUCAUGCUACCAUGCCGUACUCGUGUGUGCAUGCAUGUGUACCAAUGAGCUAAUCAGAAGGCAAGAAAGCUAAUCAGACAGAAGGCAAGAAAGAAGCCGACCAUUUUUGUGGUUUCUUGUGACUCCACCUGGACAUCGCUUGAAGAUCAUCGCCACCUUGACGACCGACUCUACCGUGACGUCUACUCGACCUCAACAACACGACCGUGCAUAUCCGACCCACCACUACUACGAUUACAAUACCACACCGGUUCAUGGACCGAUAAGAUCAUGAAUGACGCCGACGCCACAUCCACAUCAACACUACACAUGCAUGGAGAACGUGAAGCGAAGACUGAAAACGACCACAACAGUGGAAUCGGAGGU
rnacentral:lncRNA from 1 species